CACCGGCGGCUCGAGUGGUGGCCACUUUUAUUGGGUCUAAAGCGUCCGUAGCCGGCUUGGCAAGUCCCCUGGGAAAUCUGGCGGCUUAACCGUCAGGCGUCCAGAGGAUACUGCCAGGCUUGGGACCGGGAGAGGUGAGAGGUACCUCAGGGGUAGGGGUGAAAUCUUGUAAUCCUCGAGGGACCACCAGUGGCGAAGGCGUCUCACCAGAACGGGUCCGACGGUCAGGGACGAAAGCUGGGGGCACGAACCGG
rnacentral:rRNA from 1 species